GUCAGAAUGCCUCUGUUCUCUUCUGUAUGACUUCAUUAGAGAAUUUGGGCUUCUUAUGGCAUGGCAGCUGAGUUUCAAGGGAAAGCACUGUAAGUGGAAUUCAGCAGAACUGAAAGCUGCAAAUCUUAAGGCCCAGCUCCAAAGAUAAAAAGUGUCACUUCUGCCAAAUGCUAUUGGUCAAAAACUCCCAGCUUCCAAGCCCACACAGUUUUGCUGAUGACAAAUGAAAUCUUGAAGAACACCCAUCUCUUGUGAAAACAAUAAGGACAGUAUAAGAAAACAAAACAACAGUAAUCUUACUAUCAAGUGAUGGAGUUUCGCUCUUGUUAUCCAGGCUGGAGUGCAAUGGCGCGAUCUCGGCUCACCGCAACCUCCACCUCCUGCGUUCAGGCAAUUCUCCUGCCUCAGUCUCCUGAGUAGCUGGGAUUACAGGCACGCACCACCGUGCCCAGCUUGGUCCUCAUUUUUAAAAUAUUACAAAUGAAACUCUGAUGAAUAUCCUGGUACAAUUGUCAUAUGCUUACUUACUACUUUAUCAGGUUAAAACAUUAUUUUCCAUGCAACACCUAUUUUAUCCUUUUUUCGAAUUCAUGGUUCAUGCUUUUCUUAUUAAGGUGCAAUCGUUCUUCACACAGUAAAGAUAUUAACAUUUGUAACAUGUGUGUCAAAUGUUCCACCAAUUUUUCAUCCAUCUCUUUUAUAUUAUGAUGUUUUUAUUGAUUUGCAGAAG